rnacentral:rRNA from 1 species
AACGAACGCUGGCGGCAGGCUUAACACAUGCAAGUCGAGCGCCCCGCAAGGGGAGCGGCAGACGGGUGAGUAACGCGUGGGGAUCUGCCUAGUGGUACGGAACAACACGGGGAAACUCGUGCUAAUACCGUAUAAGUCCUUCGGGAGAAAGAUUUAUCGCCAUUAGAUGAACCCGCGUCUGAUUAGCUAGUUGGUGAGGUAACGGCUCACCAAGGCGACGAUCAGUAGCUGGUCUGAGAGGAUGAUCAGCCACACUGGGACUGAGACGCGGCCCAGACUCCUACGGGAGGCAGCAGUGGGGAAUAUUGGACAAUGGGCGCAAGCCUGAUCCAGCCAUGCCGCGUGAGUGAUGAAGGCCUUAGGGUUGUAAAGCUCUUUCGCUAGGGAAGAUAAUGACGGUACCUAGAGAAGAAGCCCCGGCUAACUUCGUGCCAGCAGCCGCCGUAACAC